rnacentral:rRNA from 1 species
GACCCGCGUCUGAUUAGCUAGUUGGUAAGGUAACGGCUCACCAAGGCGACGAUCAGUAGCCGACCUGAGAGGGUGAUCGGCCACAUUGGAACUGAGACACGGACCAAACUCCUACGGGAGGCAGCAGGGGGGAAUAUUGCACAAUGGGCGAAAGCCUGAUGCAGCAACGCCGCGUGAGUGAUGAAGGCCUUCGGGUCGUAAAACUCUGUCCUCAAGGAAGAUAAUGACGGUACUUGAGGAGGAAGCCCCGGCUAA